UGCCUCUGAGACCCCAGCACACUUGCACAUGGCCCUGGGGGUCAGGUUUCAACACCAGAGCAUGGGCUCACACAUGCCUGGAACCACUGAACUCCCUUGCUGGCAGCCCUUUCAACUGCAAGCAACACAU